rnacentral:rRNA from 1 species
AACGAACGCUGGCGGCGCGCCUAAUACAUGCAAGUCGAGCGAGAAGACGUAGCAAUACGUUUGUAAAGCGGCGAGCGGGUGAGGAAUACAUGGGUAACCUACCCUCGAGUGGGGAAUAACUAGCCGAAAGGUUAGCUAAUACCGCGUACGCUCCUUGGACUUCGGUUCAGGGAGGAAAGCGAUACCGUGGGUAUCGCGCUCUUGGAUGGGCUCAUGUCCUAUCAGCUUGUUGGUGAGGUAACGGCUCACCAAGGCUUCGACGGGUAGCUGGUCUGAGAGGACGAUCAGCCACACUGGCACUGCGACACGGGCCAGACUCC